GGAGAUGUGGCUCAAGUGGUAGCGCGCUCGCCUGGUAUGCGUGCGACCUGGGUUCGAUCCUCAGCACCA
rfam:Ictidomys tridecemlineatus contig003182, whole genome shotgun sequence.